rnacentral:rRNA from 1 species
GGUUAACCGAAUAGGGGAGCCGAAGGGAAACCGAGUCUUAACUGGGCGUUAAGUUGCAGGGUAUAGACCCGAAACCCGGUGAUCUAGCCAUGGGCAGGUUGAAGGUUGGGUAACACUAACUGGAGGACCGAACCGACUAAUGUUGAAAAAUUAGCGGAUGACUUGUGGCUGGGGGUGAAAGGCCAAUCAAACCGGGAGAUAGCUGGUUCUCCCCGAAAGCUAUUUAGGUAGCGCCUCGUGAACUCAUCUUCGGGGGUAGAGCACUGUUUCGGCUAGGGGGUCAUCCCGACUUACCAACCCGAUGCAAACUGCGAAUACCGAAGAAUGUUAUCACGGGAGACACACGGCGGGUGCUAACGUCCGUCGUGAAGAGGGAAACAACCCAGACCGCCAGCUAAGGUCCCAAAGUCAUGGUUAAGUGGGAAACGAUGUGGGAAGGCACAGACAGCCAGGAUGUUGGCUUAGAAGCAGCCAUCAUUUAAAGAAAGCGUAAUAGCUCACUGGUCGAGUCGGCCUGCGCGGAAGAUGUAACGGGGCUAAACCAUGCACCGAAGCUGCGGCAGCGACACUAUGUGUUGUUGGGUAGGGGAGCGUUCUGUAAGCCGUUGAAGGUGU